CCUCCAGUGGUUGCCCAUCCACCCCGUAAUGUUCGGAGGUAGAGGGAAGGGGCUCCGGCCUACCUGGCAUUAUGUCUUCGGUGCCGGUGGUUGCCCACCCGCCGGUUUUAACCUCCCUCGCCGGGACAAAC